CAAAAAGUAAAACUAUUAAACUAAAGUGUAAAACUAUUAUUUUCAUGAGUGUAUUUUGGGAUACAUAAUGCUAUCAAUAAAAUUAUUAGUCAUUUAAUUUUUCUUUUUUAUUUCUUUUCUUAUUUAUUUAUGUAUUUAUUUAUUUUAUUUUCAACAUAUCAGCAUUUCAACAUUAACAGAACAAUAUAGGCUAGUCUAAGAUAAAGAAACAUAAUUUGUUAUGGGGAUGAAAACGAUGGUGGUAAUUUUUUUAACUUUUAAAAAAGUGUUCCAUGUACUGAAUGUCCAAAUACAAAUUAAAUAAACUAGUGACAGUAUGAAAAGUGUGUGGUGACAUUUAUAUUUGUAAAAAAAAAAAAAAAAAAGUGGUUGAAGAAACACCCAUAAAUGUAUAAAAUGUCCUGCAGUCUUUGGCGGUGGUAUUUUCCCUUUCCUUGACAGAGAAUGUCCAUUAGGACUGAAACUCUGCAUCGGUUUCCAAUGCUUAUCAGCACACUCACAGACGUGAUACACUGUAUAUCCUGGAAGAGCAGGAAGGGGCUGAAUUGAAUAAGAAGAGAGACAGGGAUGAGCAUAGAUACUGAGGGAGAAAGCAGAUAGGAAGACGGAUGGACAGAUGCAUAGAUGUGGAUGAGUUUAAGGCCGGAGUAUGGAGUAGCCUCUGACUCACUGGACCAGAACCAAGUGGGGCUGACGGAGCCAUCCACAAGAGCACUAUUGUUCUCUUCAUUAAUCAAACUCCACUAGGGCAGGAUGUGUGUUCGCGGCUCGCGCCACCCGGCGAGGUUGCCAAACUCAUUUCACCUUGUGGACCUCAACUUGACUGCAAGCCAGACAACCCAACGCGAUAAGGCCGCAUUAAACCUUCACUCUCCUAAGGGAGGGUUAUUAUACAGACAGAGAGAUGCGGCUCUGCAUGUGAGAACAACAGUGCACUUCCUGCAUAGAACUACAUCACCCAUGAUCCUGCAGAGAAACAUCACCAGGUUAGAGUAAAUUAAUCAUGGUAUAAAUCUUUGUGUCUAAAACAAUAUUUUUUUGCUUCAAAUUCAAGUUUGUAAUGUUGUGCUUCAUCUCUGAGCGGGUUAGUUCAGCUCAUAUCCAUCUUUAUUUUAAAAUCCCUAUACAAAAAAGGAAUUGGAAAAAAAACUUUAAAAGUGGCCAUGCACAAUUGCUUUCUAUAGCAGUCUGGAAAUAGUUGAUGACCAUUACCUGGCUUGCACAUGGUUAUGCUUUCAUCUGCAGCGUUGCUGUGGUGGUGAAAGUGCUGACAGACAUGUUCUCACACUCACCUGCAGUACUCCAUAAUUUCCAGUGACAAAGUCAUAGUGAUAAGUUACUGAGUUACAGUCAUUCGUUUUCAUUGCAUCUUCAAAGAAGGUGAGUAGACACAAGAUGGUCAGUUUCUUUUGCACAGCACAUGUGGGAACUAAAUCAAAGAUGUGGUUCAUAGUUUAGUAAGCUUACAUAAACUACAUGGAAUCUGCAGUGGAAUAAAUUGCUCGAAUAACAUUAUUUAGUUACUAACUUUAUAAGAGUAUGUGUGACUGGACCCAAUGAACAGUCAAUGACAUCACUGUAUUAAACUCUAUGUGUCUGAAUGUUUUGGUUAUGACAAACAUUUUUCCAGUAAUGUUAAUAGAAUUUUUAUUCAGUUAUCUGGUCUAUCUGGUCUGUUCUAAAAACACUAUUUAUACAUUUAUGGAAUCAUUUAUGGAAUGUUUUUUUUUUUCUGAAAAGUUUUAGUUUGUCCUUUUUUUAAUGUUAGUACUUGUUUCAGAAUGUUUAGAGAACAUUUAAAAGUAAUGUUCCCUUAAUGUUUACAAAUUGAUCAAAUAUAAUGUUCCCAUAAUGGAUAACCAAGGAAAAAAAAAAAAAAAACAUUUUAGUUAAAAUAAGUUUAACUAAGAUAAUGUCACUACAAGGAUGUUUUAUCAUCUGGAUCAAUAAUCAUCACAAUCAGGAUCAAUAACUUAUUUGUACGAACAAGAUUUUUACAAUCUCUUUUUACCAUUAAAAAUUAUAUGCAGCAAAUUUUGUCAAGACAACUUUGCAACUUUGUUUAAGAAUGGUAAGAGGACCUGUGUUGGGGAUAUGCAGAUAUGUUAAGCAGUCUGUGCGGUCCGGACUAAAAGCUGUGGGGUGAGAAGGGUGAAGAGGCAGCCUUAGUCCACUGGACAGGUGAAGGUAAACCGAUCCCAGUGCCACCCAGGUUCAGGAUGAACUUGAGACAUGUCUUCACCGUCCCUCAGAGGUGGAGGUCAGGAGGAUUGUCCAAUCAGCUGCAAUCAGAGAGAGAGGACACCCCUCUACCCCUCCUCUGAACCAAUAAAAUGGAGACAGGUCAACCCGUUCCAAUUAAGAGUCAUAAAAUUUGUCAAAUUUAUUGUGAAGAGGAAAACCCCUUGAGAUGUAACAUCUCGUUUUCGAGGGGACCUAAUCAUAAUCAAACAUAAUCAAAAUUCAAAGGCUAGUCACUACGGUCUCCAUUACUGGGGCUGGUCAGGCUCUGAGGCCAGCACUGAUAUCUGUUGACCAUGCGUUAAACAAAUACAUUGUGUUCAUAGGCCUGAGCCUCACAUCUCAGGUGAACUUGACACAAUGGACUGAACCUGACCAUCAAUAGUGACCUUUGCAUGUUCAGGAAAAUGCUCUCUCUCUUUUUUUUUUUUUUUUUUUUUGGUUGUUGAUGUUGUUGUUGUUGUUGUUGUUGCAGACUUAAUUCUUAAAUCUCUUGUAAGUUUGGAUUUGUGUUUUCUGUGGUUUUGGUAAAUGUCAGCACUAGCAGUUGUGGAGUAAAACACUUCGUGCCCAGUAGAUAUUUGCUCAUACAGUUAGAGAAAGACGAGUACCAAGUCUGGUAAGUCUGGCAGAAGUGUCUGAUUCUCAUUAAAGUGGCAAUUUUUAUUUUUUAUCAAAAAUACAGUAAAACAGUAAUGGCAAAUAUUAUUACAAUAACUGUUUUCUAUUUUAAUACAUUUUAAAAUGUAAUUUAUUCCUGUGAUGACAAAACUGAAUUUUUAGCAUCUUUACUCCAGUCUUCAGUGUCACAUGAUCCUUCAGAAAUCAUUCUAAUACGCUGAUUUGGUGCAUGAUUUGGAGUAUCAUUUCAUGUAACUGUAUAACAAAAAAGUCAAAAAGAAAAUACUUGAAAUAGAAAUCUUUUGUAACAUUAUAAAUAUAUUUACUGUCUACUGAUCAAUUUAAUGUGUCCUUGAUAAAUAAAAUAAUGUCUUUAAAAAUAAAUAAAAU
ensembl:lncRNA